GAUGAACGCUAGCGAUAGGCCUAACACAUGCAAGUCGAGGGGCAUCACAUGAAGUAGCAAUACGGAUGGUGGCGACCGGCGCACGGGUGAGUAACACGUAUGCAACCUGCCUUCAACAAGGGGAUAACCCGUUGAAAGACGGACUAAUACCCUAUAACACAGGGGUCCCGCAUGGGAAUAUUUGUUAAAGGACAACCGGUUGAAGAUGGGCAUGCGUUCCAUUAGCUAGUUGGCGGGGUAACGGCCCACCAAGGCAACGAUGGAUAGGGGAACUGAGAGGUUUAUCCCCCACACUGGUACUGAGACACGGACCACGACUCCUACGGGAGGCAGCAGUGGAGGAAUAUUGGUCAAUGGACGCAAGUCUGAACCAGCCACGUCGCGUGAAGGAAGACGGCCCUA
rnacentral:rRNA from 1 species